rnacentral:ncRNA from 1 species
CCAAAGGCUCUUUUCAGAGCCAUUAACCCCUAAUAUAAAUCACUGG